GAUGAAGAACGCAGCGAAAUGCGAUAAGUAGUGUGAAUUGCAGAAUUCAGUGAAUCAUCGAAUCUUUGAACGCACAUUGCGCCCCUUGGUAUUCCAUGGGGCAUGCCUGUUCGAGCGUCAUUUGUACCUUCAAGCUUUGCUUGGUGUUGGGUGUUUGUCUCGCCUUUGCGUGUAGACUCGCCUUAAAAUAAUUGGCAGCCGGCGUAUUGAUUUCGGAGCGCAGUACAUCUCGCGCUUUGCACUCAUAACGACAGCGUCCAAAAGUACAUUUUACACUCUUGACCUCGGAUCAGGUAGGGAUACCCGCUGAACUGAAGCAUAUCAAUAAGCGGAGGA
rnacentral:misc_RNA from 1 species